CGACUAGCCUUCAGCUUCCAUUGAGGACACAGUGAAGAAUGAUGCCAAGGACUAAAUCCUAACAUGGCGGGCAACAAGGACUUCAGAAAACAUCGAGUUGGUUACUUCUGUCACGAUCUGGCUGCAACACUUCAUUUGCGGGUGGACUGGAGGUUACAUGUUGACGGUGGGA
rnacentral:miRNA from 1 species